rnacentral:rRNA from 1 species
UAGGGAAUUUUGCGCAAUGGGCGAAAGCCUGACGCAGCAACGCCGCGUGAUUGAUGAAGCCCUUCGGGGUGUAAAGAUCUGUCAGUAGGGACGAAAUUUGACGGUACCUACAGAGGAAGCACCGGCUAACUCCGUGCCAGCAGCCGCGGUAAUACGGAGGGUGCAAGCGUUGUCCGGAAUCAUUGGGCGUAAAGAGUUCGUAGGCGGCAUGUCAAGUCUGGUGUUAAAUCCUGAGGCUCAACCUCAGAUCGGCACUGGAUACUGGCAAGCUUGAAUGUGGUAGAGGUAAAGGGAAUUCCUGGUGUAGCGGUGAAAUGCGUAGAUAUCAGGAAGAACACCGGUGGCGUAAGCGCUUUACUGGGCCAUAAUUGACGCUGAGGAACGAAAGCCGGGGGAGCGAAUG